rnacentral:rRNA from 1 species
GUAGGUGGCAAGCGUUGUCCGGAAUUAUUGGGCGUAAAGCGCGCGCAGGCGGUUCGUUUAAGGGUCUGAUGUGAAAGCCCACGGGCUCAACCGUGGAGGGUCAUUGGAAACUGGAGAACUUGAGUACAGAAGAGGAAAGCGGAAUUCCACGUGUAGCGGUGAAAUGCGUAGAGAUGUGGAGGAACACCAGUGGCGAAGGCGGCUUUCUGGUCUGUAACUGACGCUGAGGCGCGAAAGCGUGGGGAGCAAACAGGAUUAGAUACCCUGGUAGUCCACGCCGUAAACGAUGAGUGCUAAGUGUUAGGGGGUUUCCGCCCCUUAGUGCUGCAGCUAACGCAUUAAGCACUCCGCCUGGGGAGUACGGCCGCAAAGGCUG